rnacentral:rRNA from 1 species
CCCUUAGAUGUUCUGGGCCGCACGCGCGCUACACUGAUGCAUUCAACGAGUUUCUUCCUGGUCCGAGAGGAAUGGGUAACCUUUUGAAAGUGCAUCGUGAUAGGGAUAGACUAUUGCAAUUAUUGGUCUUCAACGAGGAAUUCCUAGUAGACGUAGUUCAUCAGACUGCAUCGAUUACGUCCCUGCCCUUUGUACACACCGCCCGUCGCUCCUACCGAUUGAAUGCUCAGGUGAGCCUUUCGGACUUUCAUCAUGCUGGUUUCCAGUUUUGAUGAAGGAAAGUCUUGCGAACCUUAUCAUUUAGAGGAAGGAGAAGUCGUAACA